CAUUCAUACAGAGCUCCAGCCUUCUGUGAUCACUGUGGAGAAAUGCUGUGGGGGCUGGUGCGUCAAGGUCUUAAAUGUGAAGGAUGUGGUCUGAAUUACCAUAAGAGAUGUGCAUUUAAAAUACCCAACAAUUGCAGCGGUGUGAGGCGGAGAAGGCUGUCAAAUGUUUCCCUCACUGGGCUCAGCACCAUCCGCACAUCAUCUGCUGAACUCUCUACCAGUGCCCCUGAUGAGCCCCUUCUGUCUCCUGUGAGUCCUGGCUUUGAGCAAAAAUCACCAUCAGAGUCAUUUAUUGGUCGAGAGAAGAGGUCAAAUUCUCAAUCAUACAUUGGACGACCAAUUCAACUUGACAAGAUUUUGAUGUCUAAAGUUAAAGUGCCGCACACAUUUGUCAUCCACUCCUACACCCGGCCCACAGUGUGCCAGUACUGCAAGAAGCUUCUGAAGGGGCUUUUCAGGCAGGGCUUGCAGUGCAAAGAUUGCAGAUUCAACUGCCAUAAACGUUGUGCACCAAAAGUACCAAACAACUGCCUUGGCGAAGUGACCAUUAAUGGAGGUAGGUAAAAGUUCAGCUGUCAUGUCUGUGCUUCUUCCCUAUUAGAGAGCGUGGUGAUAUGAUUUUAGUCAGGGCUUUUGGUUUUGGUUUUGGUUCAGAUAUUUCAGACACAGUCCAAAGUAAAUUAUGGCCAGUGUUUGUUCUACUUUACAAUAGAAAAGCAUCCAUGGAGUUUUAUAACAGUCAAAGACC
rnacentral:sRNA from 1 species